UUCUAAUGACAAAGGAAGUCAGGUAAGACUAUACACAAAUGUUUGGCUUUUUGCCUGACUGCAUUUUGCAAGGGGGUUUUCUCACUUUACAAAUAUGUGAUUACUAGCUUUGUUUUGUUCUUGAAGUGUUUUCAGAACUCCAUACAACUCAUCAUUUUUAGGAUUUUUUUUUCUUUUAGUGUUGUUUGCUUGAUUCAGAAUAUUUUGAAAAGAUAAUUGUUGGACCCAAAUCCAAGCAAAGAUGAGCCAAGUAAAGACAUAAUUAUUAGCACGUUCACUUGAAAUUUUAGCUCCUGCUUAAAAGCAUAUUUGCUUUCCUCUUAUUUCAUUUCUGGCAAUGUCUUAUUUCAGUCUAAGCCUUAUAUUAAGGAAAAAAAACACCUCAAAACAAAAGUCUUGACAUGUUUUUAACCACUAACAAUAAUGGUGACAUAUAACAGCUGCAAGCUCACUUCUGUAUUCCCAGUAGAGGAAUUAAAGGUCCGUGUUAUAAGAUGAGGGGUUUAGCUGCUUUAUAACAUGAUUCAGACAGUGACUCACAAUUACGAGUUGUCUGAUUAAAAAACCCCAGUAGUUGUGAGUUUCUUUUUGGAGAAUGGGCAGUCUUCAAAGGAACGUGUGAUGUUGGAGAAAAAAAUGGGAAAUAACACUUCUUUAAAUUCUAGAUUGACCACGAUUCAAAAGAGCAUGGUGAGACAUCUAUAUAUACUCAUUUCAUUAGAGAGAGCAUCUCAAUUGGAUGUAGGCUUCUUUCCAUGUAAAAACCCCCUUGAGUGCAAGGCAGUAUUGUAUCCUAGUGCAGAAAAAUGGUCAUUUAUUCUGGGUUAUUAAACAAGGUCUACAUCAUUUCUCAGAAUGACCCACAGGAGUCCUCCUGUGGCCCAGGAGAUGAAGGACCCAGUCUUGUUACUGCAGUGGCCUGGGUUCGAUCCUUGGCCUGGGAACUCCCACAUGCCUCAGGAGUUGCCAAAAAAAUAAACAGACAGACAAAUGAGAAAAAUGGCCCAUGGAUCAAGCUAUUUUGAUGCCACAUAAGGGGGAUUUUCUCCUUCAGUGGCACUUUUAACCUUUGCAGAUGCCUAGUCCAUCAACGAGUACCAGCUCUGAUGGGAGAUGAAAAAAUAUGACAGAGAUGGACAAGAGUAUAUUUUUCAAAGAGUGAAGAUUUUCUGCAGAAUUAGAUGUUGAAAGUCUUUUCAAAUGAAAACCACACCAUAGGAUUCCAGAGUCAAGUCUCCUCAGUUGGUGAAUGACUGUUGGGAAAAAAAUGAAAUGAAAUUUAUCUGAGAAUGACUGUCAUGACCCAUUCUUAAAGCAGAAGAGCUUUGUUCCCUCAAAGCUAGUGGGAACAUUUUACAGUAGCAGCCUCAUAGUUUGUAACUGAAUAAAUCACCAAGUGACAUUAAUUAUAUCUUUCCCUUUGGCUUCCUAAAUUCCCCUUUAAUAGACCUGAAGGAGUUGGCAUGAAUAAUAUGCAUUGAGAGCCGUUUGCAACUUUUGGACUCAGUAGUUAACUUUCUAGCAAAUCUAUAUUCGUUCUCUAUCAUUGCAGGUAGAAAUAUCUAUAUUUUUAAUUCUGUUCAGGAGUUUUCUUAGAAUUAUCAGCAACUAAAAAUCUUACUUUAAGUCAAUGGUUCUUGGUGAUCAUAAUGACCAAAAGUUUGAUGCGUCCCGUAGGCUAAUUUCUGUAUAUUCCACAAGAAUAAAAGGAUUGUGUGUACAUAUUUGUACUGGGAGUCAUUUUGACUGAAGAUUUAUGGAGAUAUCAACUGGCAAAUUCUGUACAGUUUAAACACAAGAGCUUUUGUCCAAGUGGAAUACUUCAAAGGAUUGGGGAUUGAAGCAGCCCUUUGAUGAAAUCUACAAACUACUGGAAAUGUUUAAAUACUGAGGUUAAAAUUACACUUGAGAUAAAAUCUGAUUUCCUGUUUCUAAGUCUAAAAGCUUGCAAUAAGGACCCUGAAGGUUCCUGGAAUAAUACACAGAUCUUCUAAAACAGCAACUGGAUGAGGGCCCUCAACAGUAUAUAACUGGGAGCAAUAAAAGAAACCUAGGCACUGUUGGCAUCCAAAAGACUUUCGAAGUACAAUGCACUGAAGUCUUCGCUACGGUCCUAUGAGAGGACACAAAACAGUCUGCAGAGCUGUCCAAAGGUACCUGACACUUCAGCUGUUGACUGUAACUCGGCUUCGAUGUUUCCUCUUUUGCAAACAAAACAAAACAAAACAAAAACAAGAAAAGAGGUAGGAAGGAAGGGGGAAAAGCAAACGAGCAAGAAAAAAGAUUUGGCAUUAUUAAUAUGAGUAACAGGAGUUUUUUCGGUAUUUUAUUGAAUUUUGCACAUAACAUUUGCAAUGAUAACACUUUAAAUCCAAUGACAAAUUUAUAAAAGGGAUCAGAUGAAAAUAUCACAUAAUCAACUCACAGAUAUACUGAUAUUUACUUAACAUAAGGCCCGAAAUUGUGUCAAGAACAUUACAGAACAGGGCGUUAAGAGCUUAUUUUAACUUUACAUUAAUAUGUGAUAAACUAACACAAUUCAUUGUCAAAGGAAGACAAAUACAGAAAAAUAGAAAAUAUGAUUUGAUAUUAUACUUUACUCAGAAUCUCAUUAUUUCUUAUUAUGUCAUCAUUUAAGAAUGAUUAUUAUUUCAUUCCAUACCAAAGAAUACUAGUUGGACUUAUCUGUUUGACAAGGAGAACUAAAGUUAAGAUUACAAAAUUUUAAAUUUCGAUACACUAUAGCUUAUGUUCCAUUUAAUUACUGACAGUAACACUGCAUUGCUAGUCAGUAAAAGUACAGAAUGUGUCACAGGCUGUUGACUUACAAGGGAAAGCAGGUACAGUGUGUCUCUGCUGUUUGAAAAAAAAGAAUUAAAAUGUACUGUUAUGUCAUGAUUAAUGCAGGAAUGUUCUCCAUAUUCAAAGUGAUCAGUCGUCAGAUUUUAAUUGUAUCUGGGAAAUUAGUUAAGUGGAUUUUUCACUAUGGGCAUCUACUUCACCACACAGUGGAACUAUGGCUAAAUGUCAACAAUCCUGUUAUCUAAGACUUCAUACCAACUCUUUCCGUGGAGUUAUAGGAAAUAAUAAGUUUUCUCAAGAUAAAGGCAGUAUUUCUAUUCACAACCCCUUCCCUGUCCUCUAAUCCCAGAACACAUGCAAUGAAAAACGAUCGGCUGAAAAAUGGUUCGUGAUGCUGGGUCUCACAGCAUGUUUCCUCUGAAUUAGGAUUCUAGAGUUUCUUGGGUUGAUUAUUGCUUCUUUCAGCAGUUUGGAAAUCAGUCAUUAUGACAGAUUUUUUUUUUUUUUUUCUGGCCAGAAGUUUCUGGGCUGGAGAUCCGGCCACAGCAGCGACCCAAGCCACUGCGAUGACACCGCCGGAUCCUUAACCUGGGAACACCUAUGAUGGAUUUUUUAAAAAAGGAAUUCAGAAAGGAGAUCAGUGAAGAAGAUACUUUUUCAGUCUAGUUUUUUGACAUAUGAAUUUAGUGUCUGUGAUCAGAGUGUGGGGACUUCAUAUGCUUUAGAUGAAAUUGUUUGGCUUUUACCCUGUGGGAGGACUAUGUUUGGAGGUAUCUAAAAAGGUCUGCAAUAGUAGCAACAACAGCUUGUAGCUGAGACCUGAAACUUCCCCAUGUAUCAUUUAGAACUACAGUAGAAGUUUUAAUUUUUUAUUCUAGUUGAUUCACAAUGUUCCAUCAAUUUCCGCUGCACAGUAAAGUGACCCAGUUACACAUACAUAGACAUUCUUUUUUCUCACAUUAUCUUCCAUCAUGUUCCAUCACACGUGUUUGGCUAUAGUUCCCUGUGCUACACAGCAGGAUCUCAUUGCUUAUCUACUCCAAAUGCAAUUGUUUGCAUCUCCUAACCCCAAACUCCCAGUCCAUCCCACUCCCUCCAAGUCUUAAAGAUAAUGGCAGUGAUAGGAAAAAAUAUCUUGAGAGAGAAUGAAGAUUGUAAAGAACUUGAGAUUUAAAGUCAUUUGCUGGCCACAUGAUCUUGGACAAGUCAUAAUCUUUCUAAAUUUUGGUCACUCACUUUCUAAACUUCAGACAGUAUUAUGACUUCAUAUGGAUAUUUUAAAGAGUAAAUAGGAUAUGUGACUCAUCUCUGCAAAGUAUGAGAUAAACCGAUGUUUGACAUCUCUACACAAAAACUGAAGUGUUGUAGUUGUAUUUGUUAUUUGCAUAAUUGCUAUCUAUUGACAAAGAUUUCAAAAACGGAUUUUAGAAAAAUACCAUAUGAUAUCACUUAUAUCUGGAACCUAAUAUACAGCACAAAUAAACUCAUCCAUAGAAAAGAAACUCAUGGACUUGGAGAACAGACUUGUGGUUGCCAAGGGAGACGGGGAGGGCGUGGGAUGGACUGGGAAUCUGGGUUUAAUAGAUGUAAACUAUUGCCUUUGAAAUGGAUAAGCAAUGAGAUUCUACUGUGCGGCACUGAGAACUUUAUCUAGUCACUUAUGAUGGAGCGUGAUGGAGGAUAAUGUGAGAAAAAGAACGUAUAUAUAUAUGUGUGACUGGGCCACUUUUCUGUACAGUAGAAAAUCGACUGAACACUGUACAUUGACUAUAAGGAAAAAAUAAAAAUCAUUAAAAUAAAAAAUGGAUUUUAAAACAUUUAGCAUAUUGCAAUGAAAUACUACAUACACUGCUUUCCCUUGUAUGUAUAGAAACUUUUAAACAGAAAUGAUAUCAUUUUAUGGGGUAGUUCCCAAAAUGGUCUGUACAGUACCUUAACCAGGAUAUUCCUAUCCGGUUUAUAAUCAUACAAUUUUAUGGCAUUUAGGAAAAACACUUUGACAGUUAGUUUUAUGUAAACUAAAUACUUAUCACCCCACCCCAAACCCAGUAUUAAGAGAUCACACCAUGGAAACAAGUUACCAGAAGAGAUACUACUAUGGUUUGUUUUUGUAUGGUGAGUUCACAAAUUGUUCUAAGAUACACUACUGACACAAUAUGCUAGAAUCACCAUUUAGCAAAUCUCAUCAACUUUAAAAAAAAUGGGUAAAAUUACUUCUUACAAAGAUCACCAACACUAACACAUAAGAGACUCAAUUAUACCUAAAGAGAAACUUCAGAUUCACAUAGCCAAAAUGAUCAGAUUAAAUGUUUUCAUGAAUCGCUCCACUAGUCAAAAUAUACAUUUCCUAUAAUGAAAGAGGCCUUUAAAAACUGCCCCCUGUUCUGAAUGGAAGGAUAUAAGACUACAGUUCUGGAUAAAUCAUCUCAGUAUGACAAAAUAUUUCUGAAUUAUUCAAAUGGACUGCUAUCAUAUUAACAACUUCCCUAGUGUCCAUAUUUUAGCAUCUUUCUAUCCUAAUCUCUUUCUACCAUAAAACCAGCAACCAGAAUAUAGUCUUCUUUUACAAUGGUUAUAAUCAUCCCUUACCUAUGUUGUGCAAAACCUGUAAUCCUUUUUCCAACUGCCCGCUAAAGCCAAACAGAAGCAUUUGGGUUUAUCCCUGAAGUCUGUUUCUCACUCCUGAGCAAAAUUAAUUACAAUAUGGCUCUAUCAGGCCUCUUUUGUAUCCACAAAAAUUUACAAAACUUUGUGAAUAUUAUUUCAAAUCAUAGCCAGUGUUUCUGGGACCAAAAAGGGUAUAGGAACUCUUAACUGUGGCGAAAGUGCACCUAACAAUCAGCUACAGUUCACUGAUAAGCAGAAUAUAUUUAAUUUUGAUUUGCUAAGUGUUUAUUCGACUACAAAAAAAUCUAAAAAGAUUCACUUGCACAGACAUUUCAUCUAGAUAAUUAACAACAUUCAAAGAUGCAAUGAUAAAUCAUAAUAAUUAAACCAUGGCCCCAAUCAAACUGUUUACAUGUUUUAUGUCUUGCUGAGGUCAAUUAGCAAGACUGGAAACAUGAAUGUUUGGGUCUGCAGUCUGUUCAGUCACAUGAGUAGCGAUAAGUGGCAUCUUAGUGCUGGAAGGGAGUGGCAUGGACUUGCGUAUUUUAGCAAUCUGAGAAUGACACCGAAUUUCAAAAGAUGUAAAGAAACUUACAGAUUACUAAAAAAACUGGGGCUCAGAGAGGUUAAAGGGACUUUCCUAGGGCCCAUAAGAGUUACUGGCAGAGCCAUCAUGAAAGCACAGAUACCUUACGUGCUACCAAACCAUGGCUGACGCAGAAAGAAUCAAGAGAUGAUCAUAAGGCCCAAACACCUGUCCCUCCCACCGUUUCCUACCUCUCCUGCUCCUAGAAUGGUAAGGCUCUGGUACAGUUUCAGCAAUUCAUGUUAAGGUGCUUUCGAAUCACCUUAACAUCAAAUUAGCUUUUAAAAGGAAUCUCCCCUCCUCUCCAGGUAUCAUAUUAAUCUGUUUCUGUUCUGCAGAGCAAUUUUUCUACUUUUUCAUGAUCCUGUCAUAGACCAGGAACAAUUCUUAGAGAAGAAAAAAAAAAAGUCUCACAUUCUCUGUCACAAUCAAUGGGAAGAUAUAUUUAUGACACUUUCAAGACUUAAGUCUUAUUUCGAUUUAUUCUUUCCUUCAGAAAUACAUAAGGAAAUCUGAGUACCUAAGUAUUCUUCAAAGCCUUUCCAGAGCAUAUAAUGACAAUCUGGGGGCUGGAAUGGGCUUUGGAGUUGAACCCAGAACAUCCAUUUUGCAAUUAGGAAACAAGCCUAGCAAUGGUAAGUGACUUAUCUAGGGUCCCACAGGCAGCAAAUGAGCAAGAAUUCUGGUCUCCUGAUAUCUAGAACAGUUCUGUUUUUACUAUGCAUUUGGUGAACCAUAUUUGAUAUGACGGUUUCUUCAUCUGGUACCAUUCUGUGCUUUUAUUGCAAAAGUCCAGGUUUUGUCUUUAUCUGAAACUGCAGCCUAUAAUAAUAAUGCAGAUAUAUAUUAAGCAUAUUAUAAUGCCUAAGGUUGUGUCACUGGUGUUUUAUGAAAGUAGCUCCUGUGUCUAUUUUGGUAAUACCUACUGAUCCUUACUAAAACUUCUGAAUGUCUAAGACCGUUUCAGGCAGUUGAUUGGUUUGUUUCAAUCAUCCCAACAGAGGACUGUGAUCAUCAGUCAUGAGGAUUAAGAUGGCUAGAAAUGAACUGACUAUUCUCUGGUCAAGUGUCCCUACUACACAGCCUAAUACAGAAUAAAAACACGGCGGUGGUUGUAUCUUCAAUUACACAUUAUCCAGAUUAGAGGUUCAGUAGCUCAAAUCUGAGAUCGCUGUCGUGUUUUUCACUUCACUUUUUCCUAGAGUGAUCUGGUCUGGUCUCAAAGUUCUGACUACAGAGACAUGACCAGUAGAUUGUGCAAAAUCCACUGUAGACAUUGCCUCAAAGAAAGUUACCUGGACUGUAUCUCCUAUCCAUCUGUUCUGCUGCUAGUAGGUAUGAGAUCAUUUCAGUUACUGAUCCUUAUAUAUUAACAAUGCAAUUCAUCACCUAUUUUUCCUUCUAUGGGCCACUGAAAAGUAUUAUAUUCUUGGCUUUCCCAGCACAAUAGUUUGAUAGUAACUGAAAUUCUACAAGUACUCUUAUUAUAACUUAGCAUGGUCAUGCAUUUUAAUAACAGGAGAUUGGAGUUUUAUGCAUUUGUUCAGGCAUAUUUUGAAAAUGAAAUAUGGAAAUGAAAAGUCUUUAAUAAAUGUUCACAGUUUGGCUUUCCAUAAGGCUUAUUAAAUAAUAUACAAAUAGCUACCAUUCUGCUGAAAUGUCACAGUAAAUACAUUAAUAAUGGCACAGAAGUGAAAUGUCCCCAAAUGGGAAAUCAUUUUCAUGACCUCCUAAAUCUCUUUUCUAAAUAAAACUUUACUUUUCUUUUUAACUGAAAAAAGUUCCAUUUCUAAAAGAAUAUAAAAAUAGAAAAUGAGUCAAGAAGGCUUUUACAGAUACAAUUUUUAAGGAAAUUCUAAAAACUCUAGAUGAAAUACUGUAUAUAUUUUAAGAAUGUGCUUUAUCUUGCCACACCAAACAUCACAUGAAAACUAAAUGAGUAUAUUAUAUAUAACUAUUGAAAAGUAUAACUAAAGGUUAAAUGUCUAAUUAAGAUAGACAACUUAAAUACAUAAUAAGUACUAAUAUAUUUUUAAGGUUAAGCUCAGCUAAAACCUAUCUUCAAGACUACUUUGCAAAUCUACCAUUUUGAAUCAAAGAAAAAUAAAAGAAUGUUUAAUCAAGCAAGGCACAUUUCUUUUAGGCAAGUCUAUCUUUAAUACCAUUCAUCUGGGCACAGUGUAGACUCCACUUAUUUAUGUAUAAAUGGGCUAAUUUAUGUAUGAGAGCCUUUGGUAGGAAAUACAUUUUCACAAGUAGUUGCACAUAAACCGGAACAUAGGUGGUUUUUUUUUUUUUUUUUUUUUUUUUUUUUUUGGCUGUUUGUUGUUUGUUUGUCUUUUUGCCAUUUCUUGGGCUGUUCCUGCGGCAUAUGGAGGCUCCCAGGCUAGGGGUUGAAUCGGAGCUGUAGCUGCUGGCCUACAUCAGAGCCACAGCAACGCCAGAUCCGAGCCAUGUCUGCAACCUACACCACAGCUCACAGCAACACUGGAUCCUUAACCCACUGAGCAAGGCCAGGGAUCGAACCCGCAACCUCAUGGUUCCUAGUCGGAUUCGUUAACCACUGAGCCACGACGGGAACUCCAUAUAAACCAGAACAUAAAAGAUAACAUUAAUAUACAAGAGGAUUAAACACAGUCCAGUAAUGAACCAAAAGAAGAAAACAGUAAAAAGUUGGCUUGUUGGAAACAAACAUUUAGUCUUUCUUUAUCAGCAGUACUGAUUAGUUUUUGAAUGAUUAAACGUCAUCAAAAUGUCAAAGACUGAAAUGAUACCUUAGUAAUUUUUAAUGUUCUUCUUUAUCUCUUGGUCAACCUUUUAUAUUGCACACAAUCUGAAGAAAAUCCUCUGGCCUCAGAGCUGUUUCCUUUACAUGAAGCAUUCGUUAGCGAGAGAUGUUAUUUAAUGUCAACUGGAACAAAAAUAUGUGCUGGCCGACAGAUCAUCGCCCAUCCAUGAUACAACCAACACUGUAUUCUUAAUGUAGGCAAUUUGGAAUGUGCAUCCUACUGGUUGGUUCAGCUCUACACUUCUUUAUGUGGGGCUCCUCGGGUAUCUGUUGGAGACAGUAAACACAAUGAUUUACGGUACAUUUAGAUUUUUUAAAUGGUAGACUAGUAUCAAAAGAAAAUAUU